CCUACGGGGGGCAGCAGUAGGGCAUAUUGCUCAAUGGGGGAAACCCUGAAGCAGCAACGCCGCGUGGAGGAUGAAGGUUUUCGGAUUGUAAACUCCUUUUGUUAGAGAAGAUAAUGACGGUAUCUAACGAAUAAGCACCAGCUAACUCCGUGCCAGCAGCCGCGGUAAUACGGAGGGUGCAAGCGUUACUCGGAAUCACUGGGCGUAAAGAGGGCGUAGGCGGGAUAGCAAGUCAGAUGUGAAAUCCCAUGGCUUAACCAUAGAACUGCAUUUGAAACUGUUAUUCUAGAGUAUGGGAGAGGUAGGUGGAAUUCUUGGUGUAGGGGUAAAAUCCGUAGAGAUCAAGAGGAAUACUCAUUGCGAAGGCGACCUGCUAGAACAUAACUGACGCUGAUGCGCGAAAGCGUGGGGAGCAAACAGGAUUAGAUACCCCGGUAGUC
rnacentral:rRNA from 1 species